GAGAGAGAUAAUGGGAUUUCUCCAGCCAGCUUGUUGAGUUGUAGUUUCAGAACCUGAAGAUUGCUAAUAUCACCCAAUUGCACCGGUAAACUACCCGUGAGAUUAUUCUGAGCCAAAUUCAAGAGAGCCAAACCUUGGCAAGAACCUAACUGAGUAGGUAUCGCACCAGUCAAGUUAUUGUUAUUCAUCUCCAAGUAAGUCAACUUAUGAGAUGAAGUGAGUGAAGAAGGUAUUGACCCAUUAAGCAAAUUACUUCCCAAUCUCAGUCUGAUCAAGUUUUGAGAUAUAUUUCUAGGUAUUGAACCAUCCAACAGAUUAUAAGACAAAUCCACAGAUAUCAAAUUCAACUGUGAUAAGAGGUCUAAUGGAAUAGACCCACUUAACUUAUUAUAACUAAGAUCUAAAAGAGUAAGAUAUUUCGUAAUUCCACUGGGAAUUGCACCAACAAACCCAUUUUGAUUUGCUGCAAACCUAUACAGAGUUGGAAUGUCUGCAAUAGUUUUGGGGAUUUCUCCAGUCAAAUUGUUGGCGGACAGAAUCAAAGUAUUCAGCUUUGUGAGAUUACCAAUCGAGUUAGGAAUAGGCCCCUCAAGGUUAUUUGCACUAAGAUCAAUGAAGGUCAAAUUUUGAUAAUUAAAUAUUUCCUUAGGUAUGUCACCUCGGAAUCUAUUCGCAGAAAGCUUGACAUCCUCUAACACCAUAGAUUUUCCAAGUUUUACAGGAACAGAACCAGUGAAACUAUUGAAAGUAAGAUUCAAUCCUUUAAGUUCAAGUAAUCCAUCUAAUUGCAAACUAAUAUUACCAGUCAAAUUAUUAAAAGACAGGUCCAAAGAUUCUAACCCAACAAAACCAUUAAAAAUAGGCAAAUAACCACCCAAUAUAUUUCUGCUAAAAUUCAGCACCUUUCACCCGCUAAUCCUUCCACAACUAUCAAUAAACUCCCUUGGGAUUGAGCCGAAGCGGUUAUUAGAGAGAUCAAGGGAAUGUAAAGAUUCAAUCUUGCAAACAAGGGACAAAAACCC